AAGUUUAAUGUGGACUAAGUUACUAAAGUUGAAAAUAUUAUCUUAAAAUAGCAUAUUUAAUUUAUUAAUAAUAGGCUAGCAACUUUUAUUGAUUUCUUUGUUCUAUCAUUAGAAUACUUGAAUAAUAUUAGAAGUAGGGGUACUGAAUAGGCUAAAUAUAUUUAGACCUUAUUCCCUAUUGUGAGAUAUUUAUGAAUUUCAUCUUCUUUUAAAUACUGUAGUUAGGUUACUGCAUCAUUUAUUCAAUAAAUUUUAUUUUAUUUAUUCAAUAAAUAAUAAAAAAGGAUUUGCUAACAUAAGUGAUUUACAUGUAGGCCUACUGCAGUCAGGCUACUUGUUGGAAAAUCCAUUUAGAGAAAUGAUUCAAGAUUAAGCUUAGAGUGGUUUAGCCAAAUGUGGAUUGUUUUAUAAAAUAAAGUUUUUCAGUAUUUUAUAAAAAGUUUUCCAUUAACCAAAUUAUAAACUGAAUGAAAUUCAACCAGACUCACUGAAGCCCUAGAGCUGAUUGGAUUGGUUGUUUGAAGAUAAUUUAUAUACGGUACUUAGACUACUGUAAUUUGUAGCAUCAUAGAGAAACAAUAGCAUAAAAAACAUCUCAUGGUGUUUAAUUUAAUGGUUUAGUAUAGGGCUCUUAUGUUGUAAAUUUCACUGUUAACUCAAGCCGCUGAUAUUCCUAUGGUAUUUUUGCUUUAUUGUAGGCCUAACUCAAUAUAAAUAUAAUAACUCUGGUACUAUGAGGUCCACCUAAUGGCAGCAUUUGAUUAACAUUGGUGUUGCUAUUCUUGUCUAUCAUUAGACAAAUCAAAUUGCUUUGGAAAUUGAAAUAAGUUUUGCUCUAUCCUCAUGUUGCUUCACAUGAUUGUUUAUUUACAAUGUAAAAAUAUACCUAAUUAAUUAGACCUUACAAAAAGAUUUAAUUUAAAUCAUGAAAAUUUAUGAAUUACUAAUUGAAUAAUAUAUUUUCUUGACGAAUAAAAUAUUAUUUAUUAUUAUUAUUAAAUAGAAUGCACAUUUAAUAUUGGGUUACAUCAGAUAUGUUAUUCCGAAUCAGCUAUUCUCUAUUAUAGGAGCCAGUGGCAAUACAGGAAAUCGGCAAUGCUGUUGUCCUAUCUUUUCUACUGGCAUUAUAGCAUUGACCUAACUAUAAGCCUACUUGAAUGAAUGAAUUUAUUUGCCAAAAACAAGAUACAAACAUAAAAAUUAAGGAAAUGUUAAUCUAUUUAAUUAGAAAUUAUAACAAAAUGAUAUCCUUAUUUAUGAUAAUAGUAUUAAUAAAUUGAGAUUAAAUUUAUGCUCACAUGCAUGAGUACAGUAGGUAAGGCAAAAAUACCUGCAGAAGGAAGAUUCUUUGUUUGCCAGUGUGACUCGUAUAAUCAGCUGUACUUAAGUAUCGCUGUAUUUAUUUACCCUCUUUGAAUGAGUAGUUUUCAUUUGAUCGCCAACUUUUUUCAUGCUAAUGUUAAAUUUAAUAUUAUACAAAAGUUUUCCUUAUAAAUUAACUUGAACUUAUUAUUUAUAUUUUACAGUGCCAAACUGAUCAACUGCAUCCCAAUGGAACGUUCAAGAUGUGAUUCAGUAACUGAUACGGUUGUUGCAAUAAUUAUUUUUGACCAAAUUGAAUCCACAAAAUAAUUGAAGAAAUGGUUUCAGAUGAUUACGAACAAGCGCAGCUAUCUUUGGAGAGGUAAUGCACCUACUGAUAUCCCGUGAUAAGAACUUGGGAGAGAUUUAGUGAAAACCUGGAGAACGGCCACUUAGCUCAAAAAUCUGAGCUGUUCACAUCAAGCUGAUAUUUGUGACAGCCAUUAUAGCUUUAAUCAUUUUCUCGAUUGAUCAAAGCACCACAGACUGCAUCGUUCGUCACCUCUGCCUUUAAUCGCGUUAUCACCUACUCCAAUAAGCCACCCCAAUAUCCUUAAUAAGCAAUAGAAGUUCUUAUCGACUGUGUAUGACUCAUUAAUAUCCAUGUUCUGUAUAAAUUUAUGUGAUAGGCCUACUGGUAUUAAUGUUGAUGUACCGUAAUGUUUUUUGCUCAUGUAUAAUUGAUAAUAAUACAUUAAAAAUAAAUAUAAUGUUAAAUUAUUA